CUGCUCCUUCAAAGUUCACAACACAAUGAAUUAAUUCCUAAAACACUCUCAAUGCUGGAGAGCGUUUGUGAUGCUGAAGCAGUGACCAGUUUUUCUGUUUCUUCUCUGGAGAUGCACAAUGAGGGACGUCUGCAGAGACUGAGAAAGAGUCUCACCACAUCCUGACAUGAGGAAAAAGACUUGAUUGAAGACUACAAUGAGAAAAACUAUCAGACAGCAGACGGCUGCAUUCAAGUCUGUAGCUGCUGAAUUCAUGGAUGAAUCAUCUGGCAGUAGAGAGGAAGACCAUCAAACAUUCACGUCAGCUGAUGGAGGUCCAAGAGUCUCACCGAACAACCAACCUACAGAGUGAAGACCUCGAAUCUGAUUGGACGGCCUCCUAUUCAGCCACAUGUGUGAACAAAUGCCUCAAAGUUGAUUUGUUUUCUGAAAUAAAUCUAGUUUGAGUC
ensembl:lncRNA